GGCUUCCUUUGGUCGGUCCUAAGUUGGAAGCAGGGACAGAAAUGGAGGAAGCUGUCAGUUACUGAGUCCUGGCCAUCUGGGGCUAAUUGUUAACAGAAGUUAUUGUUUAGCUUCCUGGAUUGUCACUAGAGAGAGCAGUGUGACCUCCUGCGAGUCAGACGGAGCAGGCUGGCUUCUCGGGCUGCUUGCUAGAGUGGAAAGGUUGGCUUCCUGACCAGGUUGCUCCCGAUUGUGGUUCAAAGGGGGAAGGAAAGUGGGCAUGUCCUUAUUGGGCAAAUACCUGCUGAAGCAGAUAGAAGAAACAGCAUUUCAGUUGGAGUCUCACCCCAGACUCAGUGCUCGAUGACUGGGGGGUUUUAGAGUCUGCGUUCUUGUUCUGGCUGCUUUUCUUCCUUCGCUGCUCUUCCUUCACACGUCAAGGCUGCCAUUCCUGGCCUGGUGCCUGAGGCUGUAACAUUUACUUUGGGAGAAUACUCCUGUCCACCGACCACUCGAGAAAACCAACUCUAGACUGGAGGACCUUAACAGAAGCACUGUUAACCUCUGCCGUCAGCAGACUCGGGUUUCUCUGGCCAGGUGAAGAAGGAAAAAUUUGUCAGUGUGAACUUACAUUUAUUGUGGCGAUGAACUCAGCUCCGUGCUUAAACAGGCUUGUCGUAAGUUGACAUUAUCAAGAAAAUUUUUAAGCAGCUGACUCAGUGGAUCUGGUAAGAUAGAUUGAGAACAGAAUUCUGUUUGGCGAUGAGUAGUAACUUAACCAUUUAUAGAAUUGACAGCUGUACCCUUAAAGCAUCCAUCAUGAAGAGGAUUUCGGAAGCUUUUUAAAAGAAAAAAAAAACUUAAAAAAAAAAACUUUUUAGAAAGUAUCAACUGAUUCCUAGUAAGACGCUUACAGAGCCACUUAGCAUGCUUUGGUAGAAGACUGAAGCGGUUCUUCUUUAAAGGGUUAAAGGGUUAGCACCGUCAUCCCUGCUUCCUCCCUCACGGGCUCCUCUGUGUCAGCCUGUCCUGGUCUUGUCCGUCAUCAGAGCUGCCAUCAGUUUGCCUGUCAAGAAAGAAGACGCUCUGGUCCUGGUUUUCCAGGUCCUCUUGGGGCCCUUCUAAAGGCCGAAAGUCCUAUUAUCAAACCUGUAGAUCAGACGAUACUCUGAGUGUAAUGACUGUAACAGAAAGCUUGCCCAGCGUGCAGAACGGAAAGUUUGACUGCGCAGUUUCACAUGAGUGGAAUGUCUUCACCUCCUGAUUAUAGCCCUGGAAGUCUUUUGCGGGAUGAUAUUUCAGACCUGAACAAAAUGCCUAGUUGUAUUGGGAAGGAGUAAUUUAUUAACUUGGGAGAAUCUAACCUGUGGGAUCUCCCCAGGUCCUUCAGCAAAUAAAAUCACUCUGAUGAUGGAUUGUUGCAUUUCA